rnacentral:rRNA from 1 species
GUAGGGAAUAUUGGACAAUGGGGGCAACCCUGAUCCAGCCAUGCCGCGUGAAUGAUGAAGGCCUUCGGGUUGUAAAGUUCUUUUGGAGGGGACGAUGAUGACGGUACCCUCAGAAUAAGCUCCGGCUAACUUCGUGCCAGCAGCCGCGGUAAUACGAAGGGAGCUAGCGUUGUUCGGAAUUACUGGGCGUAAAGGGCGCGUAGGCGGUUUGGUUAGUCAGAUGUGAAAGCCCAGGGCUUAACCCUGGAACUGCGUUUGAUACUGCCAAGCUUGAAUUCGGGAGAGGUGAGUGGAAUUCCCAGUGUAGAGGUGAAAUUCGUAGAUAUUGGGAAGAACACCGGUGGCGAAGGCGGCUCACUGGACCGACAUUGACGCUGAGGCGCGAAAGCGUGGGGAGCAAACAGGAUUAGAAACCCGGGUAGUCC